CCCUUAGAUGUUCUGGGCUGCACGCGCGCUACACUGAAGCUAUCAGCACGUUUUCCCUCCCUGAGAAGGGCGGGUAACCUUUUGAAUCAGCUUCGUGGUAGGGAUCGGGGCUUGCAAUUGUUCCCCGUGAACCAGGAAUUCCUAGUAGACGCGAGUCAUAAGCUCGCAUCGAUUAAGUCCCUGCCCUUUGUACACACCGCCCGUCGCUACUACCGAUUGAACGUUUUAGUGAGGCAUUUGGACCGACGCAUCUCAGUUUAACCGCUGGUUUGUGUUGGAAAGACUUCCAAACUUGAGCGUUUAGAGGAAGUAAAAGUCGUAACA
rnacentral:rRNA from 1 species